AACGAACGCUGGCGGCAGGCCUAACACAUGCAAGUCGAGCGAGAUCUUCGGGUCUAGCGGCGGACGGGUGAGUAACGCGUGGGAAUAUGCCCUUCUCUGCGGAAUAGCCUCGGGAAACUGAGCGUAAUACCGCAUACGCCCUUUGGGGGAAAGAUUUAUCGGAGAAGGAUUAGCCCGCGUUGGAUUAGGUAGUUGGUGGGGUAACGGCCUACCAAGCCGACGAUCCAUAGCUGGUUUGAGAGGAUGAUCAGCCACACUGGGACUGAGACACGGCCCAGACUCCUACGGGAGGCAGCAGUGGGGAAUCUUAGACAAUGGGGGCGACCCUGAUCUAGCCAUGCCGCGUGAGUGAUGAAGGCCUUAGGGUUGUAAAGCUCUUUCAGCUGGGAAGAUAAUGACGGUACCAGCAGAAGAAGCCCCGGCUAACUCCGUG
rnacentral:rRNA from 1 species